CAGAAAAUUUAAUUUUACUGUGUGUGUGUGUGUAUAUAUAUAUAUAUAUAUACACACAGUAAAAUUAAAUUUUCUGUU